AGCCCCGCGCCCCGCCGGCGUCCGAGCGCUCGCUCAUUGGCCGGAUCCAUACGGUCGUUCGGCGCAGUUGGGGCGGUCGUGCUGGGAGUGGGGUGCGGCGGCCCUGGGCUGAGCUUGGAGGGUCCGGAAGGCUUCCAGAAUGGUUUUGUCUUCGACCGAUGACCUCAGCGUGAGCUGAUAAGAUCAAAUUGAAGGACCUGGAAAGUUAAAGGCAAACAAUGACUGGUGGUAACAGCACA